GUACGACACACUUUCCGGCCACUGUAUUAGGUACACAGACACUGGAGUCUCGGGGGAGGAUACGAAUCUCUUGACUGUGAGGCGGACGUGCUCACCGCUAGUGCACCGUGCUGCCCUGCUUGAUCAAAUGAGGAAGGAGGGAAGUGAUCAGUCACCGUGUACAGCGUCCACUUCCUGUGCCGGGGACGGCGAGAUGCCCGCCGCCACGCCGACGGCGCCGUUGAUCUCGGCCUCGUGCUCCCUGGCUUUGGCCCUGAGCUGAGCGAUGCUGCUGGAGCGCAGCUGCUCCGACCUCUGACCGGCCGCCGUCCACGGAGAAGCACCGCACGAGUGAAUUCUGACCGAUUCGGCGAAGUAUAUCAUAUGCGGUUUUGGCCGGACUCACCCACGCCAUCCACCAGUGGACCCAUGCCUACGGCCUGUGAGGCCAGCAGCAGCGCCUCCUUGCAUGGUUC